rnacentral:rRNA from 1 species
GGAUGAACGCUGGCGGCGUGCCUAAUACAUGCAAGUCGAACGGAGAACUUUUGUAGCAAUACGAAGGUUUCUUAGUGGCGAACGGGUGAGUAACGCGUUGGUGACCUGCCCCAAAGUGUGGGAUAACAGUCCGAAAGGAUUGCUAAUACCGCAUGUGGCCAUCGGGUUUAGAAGCCGAUGUCUAAAGCCGCAAGGCGCUUUGGGAGGGACCUGCGUCCCAUCAGCUAGUUGGUGAGGUAACGGCCCACCAAGGCUACGACGGGUAGGGGGCCUGAGAGGGUGGCCCCCCACAAUGGAACUGAAACACGGUCCAUACACCUACGGGUGGCAGCAGUAGGGAAUAUUGCACAAUGGGCGAAAGCCUGAUGCAGCAACGCCGCGUGAAGGAUGAAGGUUUUCGGAUCGUAAACUUCUUUUAUCUGGGAAUAAUCAUGAAGGUACCAGAUGAAUAAGCACC